UGGGGAAUUUUGGACAAUGGGCGAAAGCCUGAUCCAGCAAUGCCGCGUGUGUGAAGAAGGCCUUCGGGUUGUAAAGCACUUUUGUCCGGAAAGAAAUCCUCUGGGUUAAUACCUCGGGGGGAUGACGGUACCGGAAGAAUAAGCACCGGCUAACUACGUGCCAGCAGCCGCGGUAAUACGUAGGGUGCAAGUGUUAAUCGGAAUUACUGGGCGUAAAGCGUGCGCAGGCGGUUUUGUAAGACGGAUGUGAAAUCCCCGGGCUUAACCUGGGAACUGCAUUCGUGACUGCAAGGCUAGAGUAUGGCAGAGGGGGGUAGAAUUCCACGUGUAGCAGUGAAAUGCGUAGAGAUGUGGAGGAAUACCGAUGGCGAAGGCAGCCCCCUGGGCCAAUACUGACGCUCAUGCACGAAAGCGUGGGGAGCAAACAGGAUUAGAUACCCUGGUAGUCCACGCCCUAAACGAUGUCAACUAGUUGUUGGGGAUUCAUUUCCUUAGUAACGUAGCUAACGCGUGAAGUUGACCGCCUGGGGAGUACGGUCG
rnacentral:rRNA from 1 species